CCUCCCAUCCCCAAUCAGCCAUCUAAUCUAGGCCAAAGCUAUUGGGGUGUAAGCACAGAUCUCCUUCCAAAUGGAGUAGACGUGAGUGGCCCGAACCUCGAUCCCCUGACUCCAUGCACGUAUCAAGCCCUUAUAACUCUGGUCCACAAAUAGUCCAAGCGAGCAAGAAAUAUGACGGCAUGCUUGGUAAUCAUAACCUCCCUCCUGACAAAUAGAAACUGAAUCCCAAGGCC
rnacentral:lncRNA from 1 species